rnacentral:rRNA from 1 species
UACGUAGAAGACUAGUGUUAUUCAUCUUUAAUAGGUUUAAAGGGUACCUAGACGGUAUAAUUAGUCUUAAACAGGAUACGAUUAUACUAGAGUUAUAUAUGAGGAGGUGAUGUAUUUAUGUCAGUAGAGUUGAAAUUCGUUGAUAGCAGUAACGAACUGGUUAACGGCGAAAAGCAACCUUUUAUCUGAAUAACUGACGUUGAGGGACGAAGGUCUCGG